GAUCAUUCAAAUGCAGCUGAAGCCACAAGCAUGAGUUAUGAUUGGAAAACUGAACCAGAUAAAAAUAAAGCAGCAUCCUUAUACACAAAGGAAAUAAUUUGCCAACAUGAGAUGAGAAAGCCCCUCUUGAUGACCAUGGAUUUGAGGAUGGACAAGGAAGAUCAAGACAGAGAACUUUUUGCAUUCUACAAAUAAAACGGCAUAGAAUGGGCAAGCCCUGUGAAGUGCAGACUCCAAGGGGAUGCUGCCAUUGGUGAGGGAGUAACCAGACAUUUCUUGUCUACUGUUAUAUAGAGGCUUCAGCAUGGAUUUAAUUUUAACAUGGGAAAUACUGCAAGGACCUGUCUC